rnacentral:misc_RNA from 1 species
GAUGAAGAACGCAGCGAAAUGCGAAAAGUAAUGUGAAUUGCAGAAUUCAGUGAAUCAUCGAAUCUUUGAACGCACAUUGCGCCCCCUGGUAUUCCGGGGGGCAUGCCUGUCCGAGCGUCAUUACAACCCUCAAGCUCAGCUUGGUGUUGGGCCCCGCCGCCCCGGCGGGCCCUAAAGUCAGUGGCGGUGCCGUCCGGCUCCGAGCGUAGUAAUUCUUCUCGCUCUGGAGGUCCGGUCGUGUGCUCGCCAGCAACCCCCAAUUUUUUUCAGGUUGACCUCGGAUCAGGUAGGGAUACCCGCUGAACUUAAGCAUAUCAAUAAGCGGAGGA